rnacentral:tRNA from 1 species
GCACGGAUGGCCGGUUGGUCUAAGACGCCAGAUUCAGGAUUUCGCUUGCCACGAAGAGAUUGUUGAGCACUCUCGUACUCGUAAGGGUGCGUGGGUUGAAAUCCCACUCCGUGCA